rnacentral:rRNA from 1 species
ACCUUCGGGGGACGAUACGGCGUCGAGCGGCGGACGGGUGAGUAAUGCCUAGGAAAUUGCCCUGAUGUGGGGGAUAACCAUUGGAAACGAUGGCUAAUACCGCAUAAUACCUACGGGUCAAAGAGGGGGACCUUCGGGCCUCUCGCGUCAGGAUAUGCCUAGGUGGGAUUAGCUAGUUGGUGAGGUAAUGGCUCACCAAGGCGACGAUCCCUAGCUGGUCUGAGAGGAUGAUCAGCCACACUGGAACUGAGACACGGUCCAGACUCCUACGGGAGGCAGCAGUGGGGAAUAUUGCACAAUGGGCGCAAGCCUGAUGCAGCCAUGCCGCGUGUGUGAAGAAGGCCUUCGGGUUGUAAAGCACUUUCAGUCGUGAGGAAGGUAGUGUAGUUAAUAGCUGCAUUAUUUGACGUUAGCGACAGAAGAAGCACCGGCUAACUCCGUGCCAGCAGCCGCGGUAAUACGGAGGGUGCGAGCGUUAAUCGGAAUUACUGGGCGUAAAGCGCAUGCAGGUGGUUUGUUAAGUCAGAUGUGAAAGCCCGGGGCUCAACCUCGGAAUAGCAUUUGAAACUGGCAGACUAGAGUACUGUAGAGGGGGGUAGAAUUUCAGGUGUAGCGGUGAAAUGCGUAGAGAUCUGAAGGAAUACCGGUGGCGAAGGCGGCCCCCUGGACAGAUACUGACACUCAGAUGCGAAAGCGUGGGGAGCAAACAGGAUUAGAUACCCUGGUAGUCCACGCCGUAAACGAUGUCUACUUGGAGGUUGUGGCCUUGAGCCGUGGCUUUCGGAGCUAACGCGUUUAAGUAGACCGCCUGGGGAGUACGGUCGCAAGAUUAAAACUCAAAUGAAUUGACGGGGGCCCGCACAAGCGGUGGAGCAUGUGGUUUUAUUCGAUGCAACGCGAAAACCUUACCUACUCUUGACAUCCA